GGAAGCUGACGCGCCCUCGAGUGACCUGGUGGGCGGGCAAGGGGCCGGCUCCCGAGCCGGCGAAGGGUGCCAUGGAGGCUGUCGGCUGUUGCGUCGCCGCGGCGCCACCUUCUCGGCGACUGUGGGCCGCGCGAGGCCUCCAUAGGCCACCGACCAAAAGCCUCAGUGAGAGUCGAGCUGCCCGAGUGCGUGUUCACGAAGGGUCACCACACACGGAGCUGCCCCUCCCUAUCACCCCAAACCUCAUCUUCGAGGCCAGAGGCUUUUCUGCCCGGAUUCUGGGGUGUUUCUCCUCCUUCCCUCCCUCCCAGAUCUAACGGUUGGAUUCCUUAAUGGCGAACAAGCCUUUGGCCAAACCUGGAAGUGUAAAAACUGCCUUCUUGUUCUGGUCUCAUCAAAAAGAUGAGGAUUGAAGUGACCGUAUUUUCUAGCAGCAUCUUUCACCCUUUUCUAAGGAAUCUGACAAGGGAGAGGAGCUAUGCCACAUUCCUCUCUGAAAGUAAACAGGAAUCUAUGCUGACAUUGAGAGAACACCUUCAAGGUUAAGUACUAACCAAAAAUGAAAGUUUUAUGUACAUACCGUAUAUCUCCAUAUAGCACCAUAG